rnacentral:rRNA from 1 species
UACGUAGGGGGCAAGCGUUGUCCGGAAUCAUUGGGCGUAAAGCGCGCGUAGGCGGCCCUGUAAGUCCGUUGUGAAAGUCGAAGGCUCAACCUUCGAAAGCCGAUGGAUACUGCAGGGCUAGAGUCCGGAAGAGGCGAGUGGAAUUCCUGGUGUAGCGGUGAAAUGCGCAGAUAUCAGGAGGAACACCGAUUGCGAAGGCAGCUCGCUGGGACGUAACUGACGCUGAGACGCGAAAGCGUGGGAGCAACAGG